rnacentral:rRNA from 1 species
UAGUCCACGCCGUAAACGAUGUCUACUAGCCGUUGGGAGACUUGAUUUCUUAGUGGCGCAGCUAACGCAAUAAGUAGACCGCCUGGGGAGUACGGCCGCAAGGUUAAAACUCAAAUGAAUGGACGGGGGCCCGCACAAGCGGUGGAGCAUGUGGUUUAAUUCGAUGCAACGCGAAGAACCUUACCAGGUCUUGACAUCCAGAGAACUUUCCAGAGAUGGAUUGGUGCCUUCGGGAGCUCUGUGACAGGUGCUGCAUGGCCGUCGUCAGCUCGUGUCGUGAGAUGUUGGGUUAAGUCCCGUAACGAGCGCAACCCUUGUCCUUAGUUGCCAGCGCGUAAUGGCGGGAACUCUAAGGAGACUGCCGGUGACAAACCGGAGGAAGGUGGGGACGACGUCAAGUCAUCAUGGCCUUUACGACCUGGGCUACACACGUGCUACAAUGGUCGGUACAGAGGGUUGCCAAGCCGCGAGGUGGAGCUAAUCCCAGAAAACCGAUCGUGGUCCGGA